CAAAUGUCAUCUUUUAAGACCUGCCUUCCGAGACAGCAUCAGUCAUCUUAUCAUCCUUCCAUUGCUUUCUUUUUCUCUAAAGCACAUACUGGCACCCAUUUUUUAAAAAACUCAUUUGUCUUUCUGCACCAGGAAAUAAUAGAGCAUGGCAAAUUGGAGUCUUCAAUUAAGCACACGGAAUACAUGUGCUGAAUUGCUUUCUUUGCAAGGUUCAGAGUCAGAAUUCCUGCCCUGGGUUCUGAGUUGCUGAGUGGAGACGAUGAUGGAGAGCAGUGGAGACACGUGAUUUUCAGGGUGCUCUUUGCAUGCAUGAAAUGGAGCAAGACUUAUGAAGGGAAAAUGAAAGAGGAGGAUAGGAAGAUACGUCACCUCCUGGGUUUCCUCCAAUCAUCCAGUCCUCAUCUCUCUAUAUGUCUUUGAACACUCUGAGCGCCAUCAUGCCAAUUCCAUGGAUGAAACAAAUACCCAUGACUCAGCAUUUUUCUAAUGAAAACACGUGCGGUCUGACCCGAAGGAGAAACCACAAACAGAAUUGAGAAAAGCAGGCAGGCAAAUUUUGCUUUUCUUUUUCGUUAACCAACAGAAAAUGUAAGGACUGUUUCAUUAGGGAAUAAAAAAAAAAUGACUUACAGAAUUAACCAGAAGCAGCUCAUGAUAAAAUACAGUAUCACGCUAGAAAUACAUGUUUUACUUUUCAUGAAAGCUAACCACAUUGCCAUGAUGGGAACUCUCACACAUUGCUGGUGGGUAUGCAAAAUGAGACAGCCAGUCUGGAAAACAGUCUGCCAGUUUCCCGUGAUGUUACACUUACCACACACCCUAAUAAUCCCAAGUCUAGGUAUUUACCCUAGAGAAAUGAGGACUUAAUGUUCAACCCAAAAUCUGCACGUGAAAAUUUGUAGCGGCUUUAUUCCUUGUCACUAAAAACUGAGAACAACCAGAUGUCCUGCAAGUGACUGAAUAAACAAAGUAUAGUAAUUCAUAUACUACAAAGUAUAAUUCAUGGAGUACUAUGAAGCAAAAGCAGGAAUGACUAGAGUUAAUAACAAAGUAUUGUAUUGUUGAAAAUUGCUGAGCGAGUAGAUUUUAAAUGUUCUCACCACAAAGAACUGAAAAGUAUGUGAGGUAAUGAAUAUGUUAAGUAGCUUGAUUUAGCCAUUCCACAAUGUACAUAUAUCAAAACAUCGUGGUGUAUACCAUAAAUAUAUACAAAUGUUAUUUGUCUAUUAAAGAAGUUAAUUAAAGAAAAGGAUGGACUAUUGAUACACACAACCACUUGGAUACAUUGCAAAGGUACCAUGCUGAAUGAAAGAAAUUAGUUUCAAAAGCUAUGAUUUCAUUUAGAUGACAUCCUCAAGAAGACAAAACUGUAGUGACAAGGACAGAUUAGUGACUAGGAGAGACUGAGACAGGGCUGGGGUGUGUAAGUAACUACAAAAGGAGAACAUGGGAAAUUUUCGAGGCAAAAGGGUUGUCUUGGGUUCCUGCAGUUGUGACAGUUCCAGAAACCUGUAUUUGUGUUAAAAUCUACAGAACUGUACACAGUGAAGCCAAUUUUACUGUAUGUUAACUUUAAAAAUAUAAUACCACAAUAAAAUUAAACAUCACGCUGAAUGCUAAGAAUAGGAUAGACUUGCUUCAAUGGAUGGGGGAAAGACUUGCUUAACGGUAGGAGCCAUUUCAGGCAGAGACACUGAGGCUACUCUGUAACAAGGGAGAAAGGCAGCCUGAAAACUUGGUAAAUCUGUUUCCAAAAUAUUUGUCAUGUCCUUAAAAAUAAAAGCACACUGGAAAACACAAAAACGGAAUCAACCUCUCAGUAAAAGUCCUAUUGGCAUAUCGUUAAUC
rnacentral:lncRNA from 1 species